rnacentral:lncRNA from 1 species
AUAACUUAUAAUGUGAAAACAAUGUAACUAUAAAGCAUUACACAUAACAUAAUCCCACAUGAAAUUACAAUUUUCAAAAGCUAUAUUACAAUCUGAAAAUACUAGCUAAAUGAUAAACUCAAAAGGACAUGUAGGUUAUGUUUACUAACCUGCAACAAGGACUUUCAACGUGAUCAUUACAUGAGGGUGGUGAUCAUCCCAAACAACAAAAUACAAGGUUCACUAGCUGAAAUAACAUAUAUAACAUAAAAACUUUUAUUUUUCAUAUCUCAUUAUAUUUUUCUUCAUUUUUUAUCUUUGAAAAAACUUCUAAAUGACGUAACUUGAUGCUGGAGAUAUUAUUUUUUUGGAUUUUAUUAUUUCAAUUUAUCUUAGAUAAAUUUAUCAACCUAAAUGAAUUUCAAGUGUAGGAAAUUUCUCUUGGGAAAUUUAUAGUUGUUGGAAGCCUUCACAUGCGCCAUUUUCUUGGCAAGCAUGUUCCAUGUGACCCACGGGGAGCAAAAGCUCUUGUCUUAUAUGGUUAAGGGUCUAGUCUUAACUUUAUCUUUUUUUCUUCUCAUCAUUGUCAAGAGACUUUCAAUGCUCAAUCACACAAGAAAGAGACUUCAAAUGCUCAAGCACAAUCAAGAAAGAGAGUUCUACAAUCUAACUUAAUCAAAUAAAAGAUUGGUUUAUUUUACACUUGAUAAACAAUCUAACUUACAAAUUGUAUUAUCAGAGGCUGAAAGCGACCCUUCCUCUGAAGACGAAAAACUGGUCAGAGGCUUCUGAUGCUGACUUGGCUUUAUAUUCUUGAUAUCCUCUGAGUCUUCAGACCUUCAGAUGCUUGGCCUCUUCAGAGUCUGUUUCAAAUCUUCAGCUUCCCACUUUUUUCAGAUGCUCUUGUAUAUGUUCAGAAUCUUGAUCUUUCAUAAUCAAAACUUGAUUUAAUAAAUUGAGUUUAAUUCUAUACUCCUGCAAUCUAGAACACAUAUUAGCAUAUCUAAUUGUUCUUUUCAGACUUUGUUAUCAUCAAAGGAAUUAGAAAACCCUUUUUAGUUCAACAAUGACUUUAAUGCCAUAUUAGGUGCUCAUAAAAAAAGGAAUUAGAAUGCUUCCUCCUAUUUCAUGUGAUGACUUUAUAAAUUGGACUAAUGCCAGCAGUCUUAUUCAUCUUAGUACUAAAGGAGUGUUUUUUACUUAGAGAAAUAAAAGAAUAUGCCUUGCUCAUACUUCUCUUAUAGGGAAAUAUGUAACCAUGAUUGGCUUGAUCUAUGGAAUAAUUUAGCUGAUAUUCUCUUCCCAAAAUUUUUAAUGAUCCCCAUCCUAUUUUUCGUAGAAGUGAUAAUCCAUCUAUCUCUCAUAUUCCCCCCUUUUAAAUUCUUCAAAUAUGGACAACUGAUGAGAUUUUCCAUCAAAUGGUUGUUGAUCAUUGUAAGAUUCUAGUUAUUGGUUCACCAAUGUACAAAUCUCUAGACUAAAUUGAAGAAUCUUAAGAGUACUAAAAAAAACUGAAUAAUGAGGUCUUUGGAGACAUCAUUACAAGUGCUCACAUUGCUAAGACUAAGGUGUAUAGAACAAUUUUGGACUUUACUUAUUCUGAUUAACUUCAAGCUUCAGGUUUUUGGACUUUAAAUGAACUUCAAAGAUAUAUGUGAUAAAGUUAAGAUUAAAUUGGCUACAUGGAAAAGUGAUUUUCUUUCAAAUAUGGGAAGAGUUCAACUUAUUAAAUCAAUUAUGCUCGCCUAUUCUUUCAGCAUAUAUAGGUGGCAUAUUCGCUCUUAAAACAAAACAACCUGAUGGAUGGUUCAAAAAUUUGUGUGGAGUGGAGUGGAGAUAUAAACACUCAUAACAACCUCUUGAUAUUGAUAAAAGGAAAAACACAGUGGUAAAUAUGCCGGUUUUAAUAAACAAAUAAAUAUUAUAUCCACAUGAACCGCACUUAGUUAAUUUAAGUUUAUAUCAAAA